AAGUCAUGUUUCAGAUUUUGAGUUUGGGGAGCUUACCAAACACGCUAACAAGUCUCUCUCAUACCGUCUUUAUAAGUCUAUGUUUACAUGAAUAUUUUUCUACUAAAUGUUCACAAGUCACAACAAAACAACUAGUACGUACCACUGUCAAUGUUCUUCUUUCUACCAUAGCUUAAAAUUAACCCUAAGAGCUACCUCUACCUCAGGUAAUAGCUUGUUGAACAUCUUCAUCGAAACUUUUGAAGAUCUGAUGAUGAUGAUGUUGUCGAUUAUCAGUGGGGUGUGCUUCGAUUGGUUCAUCAGCAUUGAUAUUUUACUUAUUUCAGCCACCGUAAUUUCCUUGAUUAAUCAGGUCGUGUAGCAUGCAAUAACACAGUUGUCUAGUAGCAUGAUUCUUUAUUUUUGCAGGAAUUUAAACUAUUAACAGCAUAAAGUCACAAUUAUUGAGAUUCUGCAUGUUUUUGAUGCACUUCAAAAAGGGAUGAAUUUCAUUACAUGCUGAAAGAGCUAGAUCAUCACACCUGCGUGUAAAAUGAUAUAUAUU